rnacentral:rRNA from 1 species
GACGAACGCUGGCGGCGUGCCUAAUACAUGCAAGUCGAACGCUUUUUCUUUCACCGGAGCUUGCUCCACCGAAAGAAAAAGAGUGGCGAACGGGUGAGUAACACGUGGGUAACCUGCCCAUCAGAGGGGGAUAACACUUGGAAACAGGUGCUAAUACCGUAUAACACUAUUUUCCGCAUGGAAGAAAGUUGAAAGGCGCUUUUGCGUCAAUGAUGGAUGGACCGGCGGUGCAUUAGCUAGUUGGUGAGGUAACGGCUCACCAAGGCAACGAUGCAUAGCCGACCUGAGAGGGUGAUCGGCCACACUGGGACUGAGACACGGCCCAGACUCCUACGGGAGGCAGCAGUAGGGAAUCUUCGGCAAUGGACGAAAGUCUGACCGAGCAACGCCGCGUGAGUGAAGAAGGUUUUCGGAUCGUAAAACUCUGUCGUUAGAGAAGAACAAGGAUGAGAGUAAAACGUUCAUCCCUUGACGGUAUCUAACCAGAAAGCCACGGCUAACUACGUGCCAGCCGCCGCUGUAA